AGACCUUUUAUCUAUGUGGGGCACCAUCUUUGUUCUGUUGAUGCUCCAACGUGUAUGUAGAUGUUCUCUUCAUCUAUCUCAUGGAACUCCAAGGACAUUUGUAAUCAAAGGAAGAAGAGCCCCCAUGUGAUUCACCGAGAAGAGAAGAGAAGAGGAGCAGAAACAAUAAACUCUCUAGAGACGGUUUAAAUAGAGAGCGAAUAAGGAAUGAAUCAAAAUCAAAUGAGAACAGAAUAAAAAUGGAAUAAAGAUAAAAAUCAUAAAUAUAGAGAACUAAAAAUGUUGGGAAACGAGGGACAAGUUUUCCCGAAGUAAGACUGACUUUAAGGAGUCCCUAUUAUUUUCACAUGUCUUAUUUAUCUCUUAAUGUUUAUUUUUAUAUGAUAUCUGUAUGUUUCCUAUAUAUAUAUGGCAUCUUCUACAAGGACUAAAUCAGCAAAAACAGAUAGACAGACUUAUCCGUUUAGUUUAUAAAACAUAUAUUAGAUACCACCAAUAAAGUGAUUUUUAUUUCAAA